rnacentral:rRNA from 1 species
CUUGGUCAUUUAGAGGAAGUAAAAGUCGUAACAAGGUUUCCGUAGGUGAACCUGCGGAAGGAUCAUUAUUGAAACUCACGGGGGCGCGUGCUAAGACCUGCACCGGUGGCGACGCCGUGCUGCGGUCUGGCUUGCGUCCUCUUCCAAACCCAAACACCUGUGAACCUUUGGGAUGGCGCGCUGUAACGGCCGUCGUCCCGUUUACACCAACUCUGAUGUCUAUUUGAAUGUGACUCGGGGCCUCCCCGAUUUAAACUUAAAACAACUUUCAACAACGGAUCUCUUGGCUCUCGCAUCGAUGAAGAACGCAGCGAAAUGCGAUAAGUAAUGUGAAUUGCAGAAUUCAGUGAAUCAUCGAAUCUUUGAACGCACCUUGCGCUCCUUGGUAUUCCGAGGAGCAUGCCUGUUUGAGUGUCUUGAAAUCAUCAAACCCCUCUGGUUUCUGCUGGAGCGGGUUUGGACUUGGGGGUUUUGCUGCCUCUGGCGGCUCCCCUUAAAUGAAUCGGUCGGGCUUUCGUGUGGCUUGUCCCUUGGCGUUGUAUCAACCUCGUCGCUGGAUGGCUCGCGAGCUUAGCGCCCCUCCAAGACCAGCCUCUGGAGUGGCGGUCAACUUCAAUUUGUGAUCUGACCUCAAAUCAGGUAGGACUACCCGCUGAACUUAAGCAUAUCAAUAAGCGGAGGAAAAGAAACUAACAAGGAUUCCCCUAGUAACUGGCGAGUGAAGCGGGAAAAGCUCAAAUUUGAAAUCUGGCGGCUCCGCCGUCCGAGUUGUAUUCUGGAGAAGCGUUUUCCGUGCUGGACCGUGUACAAGUCCCUUGGAACAGGGCGUCAUAGAGGGUGAGAAUCCCGUCUUUGACACGGACUACCAGUGCUCUGUGAUGCGCUCUCGAAGAGUCGAGUUGUUUGGGAAUGCAGCUCAAAAUGGGUGGUAAAUUCCAUCUAAAGCUAAAUAUUGGCGAGAGACCGAUAGCGAACAAGUACCGUGAGGGAAAGAUGAAAAGCACUUUGGAAAGAGAGUGAAACAGUACGUGAAAUUGUUGAAAGGGAAACGCUUGAAGUCAGUCGCGUCUUCUGGAACUCAGCCUUGCUUCUGCUUGGUGCACUUUCCAGUUUGACGGGUCAGCAUCGGUUUUGGUGGGCAGACAAAGGCGCGAGGAAGGUGGCCGCUCCGGCGGUGUUAUAGCCUCGCGUUGUAUGUGUCCGCUGGGACCGAGGAAUCCGGCGCUUGCGCCUGGGAUGCUGGCGUAAUGGCUCUAAGCGACCCGUCUUGAAACACGGACC